AUGAACGCUAGCUACAGGCUUAACACAUGCAAGUCGAGGGGCAGCAUUUUAGUUUGCUUGCAAACUAAAGAUGGCGACCGGCGCACGGGUGAGUAACACGUAUCCAACCUGCCGAUAACUCGGGGAUAGCCUUUCGAAAGAAAGAUUAAUAUCCGAUAGUAUAUUAAAACCGCAUGGUUUUACUAUUAAAGAAUUUCGGUUAUCGAUGGGGAUGCGUUCCAUUAGUUUGUUGGCGGGGUAACGGCCCACCAAGACUACGAUGGAUAGGGGUUCUGAGAGGAAGGUCCCCCACAUUGGAACUGAGACACGGUCCAAACUCCUACGGGAGGCAGCAGUGAGGAAUAUUGGUCAAUGGACGAGAGUCUGAACCAGCCAAGUAGCGUGAAGGAUGACUGCCCUAUGGGUUGUAAACUUCUUUUAUAUGGGAAUAAAGUAUUCCACGUGUGGAAUUUUGUAUGUACCAUAUGAAUAAGGAUCGGCUAACUCCGUGCCAGCAGCCGCGGUAAUACGGAGGAUCCGAGCGUUAUCCGGAUUUAUUGGGUUUAAAGGGAGCGUAGGUGGAUUGUUAAGUCAGUUGUGAAAGUUUGCGGCUCAACCGUAAAAUUGCAGUUGAAACUGGCAGUCUUGAGUACAGUAGAGGUGGGCGGAAUUCGUGGUGUAGCGGUGAAAUGCUUAGAUAUCACGAAGAACUCCGAUUGCGAAGGCAGCUCACUAGACUGCAACUGACACUGAUGCUCGAAAGUGUGGGUGUCAAACAGGAUUAGAUACCCUGGUAGUCCACACAGUAAACGAUGAAUACUCGCUGUUUGCGAUAUACAGUAAGCGGCCAAGCGAAAGCAUUAAGUAUUCCACCUGGGGAGUACGCCGGCAACGGUGAAACUCAAAGGAAUUGACGGGGGCCCGCACAAGCGGAGGAACAUGUGGUUUAAUUCGAUGAUACGCGAGGAACCUUACCCGGGCUUAAAUUGCAUUUGAAUAAUCUGGAAACAGGUUAGCCGCAAGGCAAAUGUGAAGGUGCUGCAUGGUUGUCGUCAGCUCGUGCCGUGAGGUGUCGGCUUAAGUGCCAUAACGAGCGCAACCCUUAUCUUUAGUUACUAACAGGUUAUGCUGAGGACUCUAGAGAGACUGCCGUCGUAAGAUGUGAGGAAGGUGGGGAUGACGUCAAAUCAGCACGGCCCUUACGUCCGGGGCUACACACGUGUUACAAUGGGGGGUACAGAAGGCAGCUACCUGGCGACAGGAUGCUAAUCCCAAAAACCUCUCUCAGUUCGGAUCGAAGUCUGCAACCCGACUUCGUGAAGCUGGAUUCGCUAGUAAUCGCGCAUCAGCCAUGGCGCGGUGAAUACGUUCCCGGGCCUUGUACACACCGCCCGUCAAGCCAUGAAAGCCGGGGGUACCUGAAGUACGUAACCGCAAGGAGCGUCCUAGGGUAAAACUGGUAAUUGGGGCU
rnacentral:rRNA from 1 species